rnacentral:rRNA from 1 species
AGAGUUUGAUCAUGGCUCAGAACGUACGCUGGCGGCACGCCUUAUACAUGCAAGUCGAACGAAGUAGCAAUACUUAGUGGCAGACGGGUGAGUAACAUGUGGGUAUCUUCCCUUUGGUGAGGAAUAACACGAGGAAACUUGUGCUAAUACCUCAUAAGUCUUUACGGAGAAAGCUUUAUGCGCCAAUGGAUGAGCCCGCACUUGAUUAGUUUGUUGGUGGGGUAAUGGCCUACCAAGACUGUGAUCAAUAGCUGAUUUGAGAGGAUGAUCAGCCACAUUGGGACUGAGACACGGCCCAAACUCCUACGGGAGGCAGCAGUAAGGAAUCUUGCACAAUGGAGGAAACUCUGAUGCAGCGAUGCCGCGUGAGUGAAGAAGGCCUUUGGGUUGUAAAGCUCUUUCGUCGGGGAAGAAAAUGACUGUACCCGAAUAAGAAGGUCCGGCUAACUUCGUGCCAGCAGCCGCGGUAAUACGAAGGGACCUAGCGUAGUUCGGAAUUACUGGGCUUAAAGAGUUCGUAGGUGGUUAAAAAAGUUGGUAGUGAAAUCCCAGAGCUUAACUCUGGAACUGCUAUCAAAACUUUUUAGCUAGAGUAUGAUAGAGGAAAGCAGAAUUUCUAGUGUAGAGGUGAAAUUCGUAGAUAUUAGAAAGAAUACCAAUUGCGAAGGCAGCUUUCUGGAUCAUUACUGACACUGAGGAACGAAAGCAUGGGUAGCGAAGAGGAUUAGAUACCCUCGUAGUCCAUGCUGUAAACGAUGUGUGUUAGACGUUGGAAAUUUAUUUUCAGUGUCGCAGCGAAAGCGAUAAACACACCGCCUGGGGAGUACGACCGCAAGGUUAAAACUCAAAUGA